AGACGUCUACAUUAGAUACCCCUGUAGUCCCAGCCGUAAACUAUGCGCGUUAGGUGUAUCGGUGACCACGAGUCACCGAGGUGCCGAAGGGAACCGUGAAACGUGCCGCCUGGGAAGUACGGUCGCAAGGCUGAAACUUAAAGGAAUUGGCGGGGAGCACCACAACGGGUGGAGCCUGCGGUUUAAUUGGACUCAACGCCGGGAAGCUCACCGGAUAGGACAGCAGAAUGAUUGCCGGGCUGAAGACCCUGCAUGACUAGCUG
rnacentral:rRNA from 1 species